GACGAACGCUGGCGGCAUGCCUAACACAUGCAAGUCGAGCGAGGCGAUUCCUUCGGGAUGAACCUAGCGGCGGACGGGUGAGUAACACGUGGGCAACCUGCCUCAUAGAGGGGAAUAGCCUCCCGAAAGGGAGAUUAAUACCGCAUAAGAUUGCAUCUUCGCAUGAAGAAGCAAUUAAAGGAGCAAUCCGCUAUGAGAUGGGCCCGCGGCGCAUUAGCUAGUUGGUGAGGUAACGGCUCACCAAGGCGACGAUGCGUAGCCGACCUGAGAGGGUGAUCGGCCACAUUGGGACUGAGACACGGCCCAGACUCCUACGGGAGGCAGCAGUGGGGAAUAUUGCACAAUGGGGGAAACCCUGAUGCAGCAAUGCCGCGUGAGUGAUGACGGCCUUCGGGUUGUAAAGCUCUGUCUUCGGGGACGAUAAUGACGGUACCCGAGGAGGAAGCCACGGCUAACUACGUGCCAGCCGCCGCGGUAA
rnacentral:rRNA from 1 species